UACAGAGGGGGCAAGCGUUGUUCGGAAUUACUGGGCGUAAAGGGCGCGUAGGCGGCCUGCUAAGUCGAACGUGAAAUCCCCGAGCUCAACUCGGGAACUGCGUCCGAUACUGACAGGCUUGAAUCCGGGAGAGGGAUGCGGAAUUCCAGGUGUAGCGGUGGAAUGCGUAGAUAUCUGGAGGAACACCGGUGGCGAAGGCGGCAUCCUGGACCGGCAUUGACGCUGAGGCGCGAAAGCUAGGGGAGCAAACGGG
rnacentral:rRNA from 1 species